rnacentral:rRNA from 1 species
UACGUAGGUGACCAGCGUUGUCCGGAUUUACUGGGCGUAAAGAGCGCGCAGGCGGUCGUUCAAGUCGAGUGUUAAAGCCCCCGGCUCAACUGGGGAGGGUCACUCGAUACUGAUCGACUUGAAGGCAGGAGAGGGAAGCGGAAUUCCCGGUGUAGUGGUGAAAUGCGUAGAUAUCGAGAGGAACACCAGUGGCGAAGGCGGCUUCCUGGCCUGUUCUUGACGCUGAGGCGCGAAAGCUAGGGGAGCAAACAGG